GAUGAACGCUGGCGGCGUGCCUAAUACAUGCCAGUCGAGCGAACAGACGAGGAGCUUGCUCCUCUGACGUUAGCGGCGGACGGGUGAGUAACACGUGGAUAACCUACCUCUAAGACUGGGAUAACUUCGGGAAACCGGAGCUAAUACCGGAUAAUAUAUUGAACCGCAUGGUUCAAUAGUGAAAGACGGUUUUGCUGUCACUUAUAGAUGGAUCCGCGCCGCAUUAGCUAGUUGGUAAGGUAACGGCUUACCAAGGCAACGAUCCGUAGCCGACCUGAGAGGGUGAUCGGCCACACUGGAACUGAGACGCGGUCCAGACUCCUACGGGAGGCAGCAGUAGGGAAUCUUCCGCAAUGGGCGAGAGCUUGACGGAGCAACGCCGCGUGAGUGAUGAAGGUCUUCGGAUCGUAAAACUCUGUUAUUAGGGAAGAACAAAUGUGUAAGUAACUAUGCACGUCUUGACGGUACCUAAUCAGAAAGCCACGGCUAACUACGUG
rnacentral:rRNA from 1 species